rnacentral:tRNA from 1 species
GGGCCGGUAGUCCAGCACGGUAGGAUGCCGCCUUUACGAGGCGGAGGUCGGUGGUUCAAGUCCUCCCCGGCCCACCA